rnacentral:sRNA from 1 species
UGAAAAAAAAACUACAGGUUUGUUUUUUUAAGUUGGGUAAACUGACAUAAUCUUGGUUGGCCUACUUUAGUGUAGGCUAAAUAUCUGAUACCAGAAAGUUUAGAUUUUAGAACACAGCACAAUAAAAAGAAGCCAAAGAAAUUUGAUCAUAACAUUACAAAUUCAAAGCCAUGUGUUAGGAUUGUUAAAUGUUCUUAAUGAUGCAAUGUGAAGAAAUUGUUUUAGUGACUAACAUAGUCACUAUUUGAAAUGCCACAAAGUUACUGUAGCAUUACUUAUAGAAAGUAGAUCAGACCCACAAGAACUAUGACAAGAAACGAAGUUAUAUGAUAGAACGUAAGGCCAAAGAGAAUGACCAAGCUCGAUCAACAGAAGACACACCGACACGACGUGGAGACAGAUUUAUUGACAGAUGCUCACCACAAAACAAAAACUACUCAACAUGGUGCUGAUGUUUUAGUAUUGGACAGUGUCCACUCGUGGAUCAUUUGUUUCGCUAAUUUUGUCAUGAUGACCUUAGGCUCUUCUUUUGGACGCACAAUCAACAUGACGUUUCUAAGUUUUGUGGAAGAUUUUCAAGUUUCUCUCACGAAAGCAUCUUUGGGAUUUACCCUACAACUUGUCAGCUUCAGUU